rnacentral:rRNA from 1 species
UUUAACUGAGCGUUCAGUUACUUGACGUAGACCCGAAACCGGGCGACCUACCCAUGAGCAGGAUGAAGCGAAAGUAAAAUUUCGUGGAGGUCCGAACCCACGAGCGUUGAAAAGCUCGGGGAUGACUUGUGGGUAGCGGUGAAAUUCCAAUCGAGCCCGGAGAUAGCUGGUUCUCCCCGAAAUAGCUUUAGGGCUAGCCUCAAGGUGAGAGAUACGGAGGUAGAGCACUGAAUGUCCUAGGGGGUAUUGCACCUACCGAAGACUAUCAAACUCCGAAUGCCGUCAUCUUAUACUUGGGAGUCAGACUGUGGGUGAUAAGAUUCAUAGUCGAAAGGGCAACAGCCCAGAUCGUCAGCUAAGGUCCCUAAAUGUAAGUUAAGUGGUAAAGGAUGUGGGAUUGCACAGACAACCAGGAUGUUGGCUUAGAAGCAGCCACUCAUUCAAAGAGUGCGUAAUAGCUCACUGGUCGAGUGAUCCUGCGCCGAAGAUUUCCGGGGCUAAAACUUACUACCGAAGCUACGGCAUCAGUAAUGAUGGGUAGGGGAGCUUCCCAUACGGGUUGAAGCAUGACCGUAAGGACAUGUGGACAGUAUGGGAGUGAGAAUGUUGGCAUGAGUAGCGAGAUGUGGGUGAGAAUCCCACAGGCCGUAAACCCAAGGUUUCCAGGGGAAGGUUCGUCCGCCCUGGGUUAGUCGGGACCUAAGCUGAGG